rnacentral:misc_RNA from 1 species
CCUUUCUAAGGAUGAUCAAGAAUGGAAUGUUCUCCUUUUUGAUCGCGUUAGACAUCAGUUUUAUUCACAUUUAAACCUGUCUCAAGUUAAUAAUAAACUUGUCUCAAGUUAAUAAUAAACUUGUCUCAAGUUAAUAAUAAACUUGUCUCAAGUUAAUAACUUGUCUCAAGUCAAAUGUUUUGAACAAAACCUUUUAAAUCAGCCUAUAGUCACUAUAGGUUAAGCAGGCUUGCCGCCUUCGUUUCUCUUG